GUCCUUUUGUAGAUAAUUUAAGGUCUGACCUGCCCACUGAAAUAUUAAAUGGCCGUGGUAUUUUGACCGUGCUAAGGUAGCAUAAUCAUUAGUUUUUUAAUUAAAAACUGGAAUGAAAGGUCGGAUAAGAAAAUAACUGUCUCUGUUAAAUUUAAUUAGAAUUUUAUUUUUAAGUUAAAAAGCUUAAAUGAAAUUAAAAGACGAGAAGACCCUAUAGAGUUUAAUUAUUUAAUAAAAGUUAUAUUUUAGUAUUAUUUUAUUAAGUUUAUUAAAUAAUUUAAUUGGGGUGAUUGAAAAAUUUAAUUAACUUUUUUUUAUUUAAAUUCAUUAAUUUAUGAAUAAAUGAUCCAAUAUUUUUGAUUAUAAGAUAAAAUUACCUUAGGGAUAACAGCGUAAUUUUUUUAGAAAGUUCAUAUUAAAAAAAAAGAUUGCGACCUCGAUGUUGGAUUAAAAUAAAUUUUUGGCGUAGAAGCUGGGAUAUUAGGUCUGUUCGACCUUUAAAAUUUUAC
rnacentral:rRNA from 1 species